GGUGAUGACAAGUUUUUGUGAAGGAAAGAUGGGCUUUUGAGGUGAUUUGGUAGGUGAGAUGAAGCUUUGGUGAAGUUUUUAAUGGUGGAAGGGUGUGGGAAGUGAGUUACGGCUGGAAGAAGGAAGAAGAAGCAGAUUGUUUCUUCAAUUUUUCUGCCCAUUUUAUGCUUUUAUUUAUGUUUAUAGAUAGGUGUCACAAUAUAAUUGGGUGGAGGCACACUAAUAACAUCAUGUGAUGUCAUAAUUUUCAAUUUUCUUUCCUUUUCUUUUCUUUU
rnacentral:misc_RNA from 1 species